rnacentral:rRNA from 1 species
ACCCUUGACAUGGUCGGAAUCCUGCUGAGAGGCGGGAGUGCUCGAAAGAGAACCGGCGCACAGGUGCUGCAUGGCUGUCGUCAGCUCGUGUCGUGAGAUGUUGGGUUAAGUCCCGCAACGAGCGCAACCCUUGUCCUUAGUUGCUACGCAAGAGCACUCUAAGGAGACUGCCGGUGACAAACCGGAGGAAGGUGGGGAUGACGUCAAGUCCUCAUGGCCCUUAUGGGUAGGGCUUCACACGUCAUACAAUGGUCGGAACAGAGGGUUGCCAACCCGCGAGGGGGAGCUAAUCCCAGAAAACCGAUCGUAGUCCGGAUUGCACUCUGCAACUCGAGAGCAUGAAGCCGGAAUCGCUAGUAAUCGCGGAUCAGAAUGCCACGGUGAAUACGUUCCCGGGCCUUGUACACAC